rnacentral:rRNA from 1 species
GNCCCUGGNUCAGGAUGAACGCUAGCGACAGGCCUAACACAUGCAAGUCGAGGGGCAGCACAAGGUAGCAAUACUGAGGUGGCGACCGGCGCACGGGUGAGUAACGCGUAUGCAACCUGCCUGUAACAGGGGAAUAGCCUCUUGAAAGAGAGAUUAAUGCCGCAUAAUACGAGAUUCGGGCAUCCGGAUUUAGUUAAACAUUUAUGGGUUACAGAUGGGCAUGCGUUUCAUUAGGUAGUUGGUGAGGUAACGGCUCACCAAGCCGACGAUGAAUAGGGGUUCUGAGAGGAAGGUCCCCCACACUGGUACUGAGACACGGACCAGACUCCUACGGGAGGCAGCAGUGAGGAAUAUUGGUCAAUGGACGCAAGUCUGAACCAGCCAAGUCGCGUGAAGGAUGAAGGUAUUAUGUAUUGUAAACUUCUUUUGUCAGGGAAUAAUGGGUGUCACGUGUGACGCAGAGNANUGUACCUGACNANNAAGCAUCGGCUAACUCCGUGCCAGCAGCCGCGGUAAUACGGAGGAUGCGAGCGUUAUCCGGAUUUAUUGGGUUUAAAGGGUGCGUAGGCGGUUUGUUAAGUCAGUGGUGAAAGUUUGCGGCUCAACCGUAAAAUUGCCAUUGAAACUGGCGAACUUGAGUACAGUAGAG